UACACUGCCAGCAUUUCUGAACACACCCCCCGCUGAAUGUACAAAUUAUUAAAAUUAAAACAGAGAGGGACAGCUAUAUGUCGAAAUUAGGAUAUAUGUUUAUGAGUGUAUAGGUAUGGUUUAAUGAAAUAUAUGGACAUCGGAUGAUAUUAUCCAGUUAAAUAACAGUCAUAGAAUAGGUUUUUUUUAAGCCAGUGAUAUUUUAUAUGCAAAAUAUACUCUUCUCGCUCUUUCUAAAGAGCUCAGCUACAAUUUUUAUUUUUUGAAUAUUUUGUUUAAACGUCAUUCUAAGAAGUUAUCCAAGCAGAGUGGUGGUGAAGAUUUGAAAUUUUGUUCGAAGUAAACCACCCCAUAAGUGGUAAUUUUUUUUAAAAGUUAAAGUGCGUAAAUCGCCCACUGAAAAAUUGGAUUUUUUUUUAAAGUUAAUGAAGAAUCUUCUUACCAACGUUCAGCUCUAUAAUACGUAUCUGAGUAUUCAAAUCGAAAGGAAAAAAGACACAUAAAGCAAAGUACGAAUAGUGGUUGAUUUUCGGCGGACCCUGGUACCCAUUUAAGAACUGGGCCGCCACUCAAUUUUAAUUUAUACCAAAUUUCGUGGACUUUCCGUUGGUUUGUGCUCACUUUGAGUGAUCAUCGUUUGGGAUCUGGACGAACAGAAAAAUAGAGGUUUGAAGCUCCAACGAAAGAGGUUGGUUGCCGGACAUAUCCAUCCAAGUCGCCCGUCCACCGGAGCACCUCGCAGUCAUAUAGUCCCGGCUGUCUGACACCAAUAAGCCCCCUAUAACGAUCCUGAAAGA